CACGUAGGGUGCGAGCGUUGUCCGGAAUUAUUGGGCGUAAAGAGCUCGUAGGCGGUGUGUCGCGUCGGCCGUGAAAACCUGCAGCUUAACUGUGGGCGUGCGGUCGAUACGGGCAUCACUAGAGUUCGGUAGGGGAGACUGGAAUUCCUGGUGUAGCGGUGAAAUGCGCAGAUAUCAGGAGGAACACCGGUGGCGAAGGCGGGUCUCUGGGCCGAUACUGACGCUGAGGAGCGAAAGCGUGGGGAGCGAACAGG
rnacentral:rRNA from 1 species